rnacentral:rRNA from 1 species
AACGUAGGAGGCGAGCGUUAUCCGGAUUCACUGGGCGUAAAGCGCGUGCAGGCGGUUUGGUAAGUUGGGCGUGAAAGCUCCCGGCUCAACUGGGAGAGGUCGUCUAAUACUACCAGACUAGAGAGCGGUAGAGGAAAAUGGAAUUCCCGGUGUAGUGGUGAAAUGCGUAGAUAUCGGGAGGAACACCAGUGGCGAAGGCGAUUUUCUGGACCGUUUCUGACGCUCAGACGCGAAAGCUAGGGUAGCAAACGGG